AAAAGAAAUCAGUUCAGCACUAAGUCACUUUGUCUUUAUGGCAAAUGUGAGAUGCAGUGUAUGGAAUGUCAAAUUUCUAGUAUGAGAAAUUAACGAUUUAAGUCCUUCUUAAAUGAGGCCAUUUACCCAUAGAGGGUGCCAGGCCCGUAUAACGUUAAUGAUUACUAGAUGGCAUUUCCAAAGAGUCGUGUUGCUUGAUAGUGCAGCACUAAGUGGGUGGUAAACUCCAUCUAAAACUAAAUAUAACCAUGAGACCGAUAGUAAACAAGUACCGUGAGGGAAAGUUGAAAAGAACUCUGAAUAGAGAGUUAAAUAGUACGUGAAACUGCUUAGAGGUUAAGCCCGAUGAACCUGAAUAUCCAUUAUAGAAAAUUCAUCAUUAUGAUUUUAAUAUUUAUAAUAUUAUAAUAAUGGUGUGCAUUUUUUCUAUAACGGACAUUGUAAUCUAUUAACAUAAAUAUAUUUAUCAUAAGAUCAAUGAUGCGUAAGUUUAUUCAAAUUAUUUUGCUUGCAAUUUAACAUAGAAUAAAUGCUCUUGAUUUGAUAAAGUGUUGAUAGAUUUAUUGUAUAUAGUGCUUAAAUAUUUAUAUUUUAUAAUAGCAUAUUAAUCAUUGAUUUUUAUGUUUAUUAUAUGCACUUAUAUGAUUAACAAUGCGAAAGAUUCAGGAUACCUUCGGGACCCGUCUUGAAACACGGACCAAGGAGUCUAACAUAUUUGCAAGUUAUUGGGUAUCAAAACCUAAUAGCGAAAUUAACAUAACUUUAAUGGGAUUAGUUUUUAGAUUAUUUAUAGUCUAUUAAUUCAAUCCCGGGGCGUUCUAUAUAGUUAUGUAUAAUAAUAUUUAUAUUAUUUAUACCUCUAACUAGAGCGUACCUUGAGCAUAUAUGCUGUGACCCGAAAGAUGGUGAACUAUACUUGAUCAGGUUGAAGUCAGGGGAAACCCUGAUGGAAGACCGAAACAGUUCUGACGUGCAAAUCGAUUGUCAGAAUUGAGUAUAGGGGCGA
rnacentral:rRNA from 1 species